rnacentral:lncRNA from 1 species
GUAAACCUGUCUGGGGAGAGUAAAGUCUGCCCCGGGCUCAUGCACCAGUGGUGCCCCAGAAGUGUCUCCUGCUGGCCUCCUCCACAGCCUCCUCUCCCCCUCCACUUCCAGGCCAAGCUCUGUUCUCCAGGACCAGAAUUCCUUCAUCUCCACUCCAGGAAAGGCCACAUGUCUCUGGAGAGAUUGACAGAAGAACCGAGGGUCCCUCUCUGCUCUUCCCUGCUUGUUGUAUCCUGAGUGUUGGGAGACUCGGUUACAUCAGACAAGUAAAGAAGUGCAUUUGACUUCAUCUUUUUAAAGGAAUGAAAUGCAGCACAGAAGCCCACAGUGUGCUCCUUCUUCUGUAGCCUGGCCAAGUGAAAGUUUUGCGAUGUGUGAGGAAAACACAUUCACAUCCCUUGGAGAGUUUUGCAGAAUAUUUUCAAGGAAUAAAAUUGGAAGCUGUGGCCUUAGGUCAAUUAGUAACCAAGACACAUCCCGAGAAGUGUGCUGCAGUGUGAUUCUGUCAUCGAGGAAACAUCAGCCCACACUCACAUGGUGGAGGAGGAUCGUGGCUCCUCCUGGAGAUACGCUGUCACGAGGCCUCUGUCGAGUCCAUGGCCCACUGGUGACCGGAUGUUUGGAAGCACGCGGCUGUGUCUUGUUCGCAGCCACUGCAGACUUGAAGACCUGGAUCAGGUGUACAAAAUAGAAAAUGUGAUCACUGGAUCCAGAAGAUGAACACAUGAGGUUUUGCUCCAGAGUAUAGAGGACUGCCAAGUGGAGUCACUGCCUCCUGACCUUGGAAGAAGAGGAUGUCUGAGAACAGAAUUCACUAUGUAACUACUUAAGCCCAAAGAAAACCUCUUAAAUGUACAUUGUGAAAGAGCAUUUCCGGGCUCUGCUUCAAACUAAAUUGGCCUAGAUUUUCAUGGGGAUGCACUGUACUGUGAUUAAGGCGAAACAAUACCCCAGGAGUUUAUAUCGCUAGAGUGGCUGUCCAGCAAAAGAAAGACAGUCAUCCCUGCCCCCCUCUCGAGAGGGCAUGGUCCAAACACAGUGUUUGCUGUUGAAAGUUCACAUAUUAAAACCAGAAGUCAAUAACAUGAAACCUAGAGCCUUCCCUUUGGCAUUAUUUUCCAACAUCUCGUUCUGUGUACUAGUAAGGCACGACCGUACUGAAGCUGUGCGUAGGGUUUCUUCCUGUCUGCAUUUGUCUUACUUUGUUUUUAAC